UACGGGGGGAGCAAGCGUUGUUCGGAUUUACUGGGCGUAAAGGGCGCGUAGGCGGCCACCGCAAGUCGACUGUGAAAUCUCCGGGCUUAACCCGGAGCGGUCAAGUGAUACUGUCGUGCUAGAGUGCGGAAGGGGCUACUGGAAUUCUCGGUGUAGCGGUGAAAUGCGUAGAUAUCGAGAGGAACACCGGUGGCGAAGGCGGGUCUCUGGGCCGAUACUGACGUGAGGAGCGAAAGCGUGGGGAGCGAACAGG
rnacentral:rRNA from 1 species